AACAAACCACACAUAACCACACAGUCAGGUAUUAACACUCAACCGAGUGCAGAGACAGACAGAGCCUCACAAUUAUCAAACACAACACCUACCAUAGGACAUUUAGAGACCAGACAUAGGGCACCGUGAUAGGCACCCUCAAGAUGGCAGUCACCAGCCUUAAUGACAAGUGAGAACAGAACACCUCCAGCAAGCGCUGUAGUUCUGAC